rnacentral:pre_miRNA from 1 species
AGAGGAAUUGCUGGGUCAUUUGGUAGUUCUAUUCUUUUUUUGAGAAAUUGCCAGACUGCUUUCCAUAGUGGAUGUACCAGUCUGCAUUCCCACCAGCAGU